AUCCAGCUGAUGAGUCUCAAAUAGGACGGAACGCGUGCCGUAGAU
rnacentral:hammerhead_ribozyme from 1 species